AGAAUGGGAAUUGAGAUAGGACAAUAGACUAUGUACAGAGGCUCGUUUGUAUACAGAAAUAUAAUAUUUGAUCCUACUGGAGCAUCCCAGAGUAAAGAAGUGAUUCUCUUGCAGGACCCUGCAGCUGUAUUCCAGUCUUCCAUAGAAAAUUUUUAGUAAAGACCAAAUCUGCCCAUACUUGCUGACAGUAUCUAGAACCAGAAGAACAUACCAUAGGACUAAAAGGUGUACUAUUGGAGGUAAUCUGUGUAUGUCUUAGUAAAAGUAUGGAUGAUUUGUAUAUUAUAAGCCUGAGACCAGAAUUAUUUUUUGGAAAAAGACAAACCUUUAUUUGAAACCUUCCUUAGUAAUUUAUAGUGCUUUGGGAGAAAUUUUUGUAUCUUAUUACAUAUUGCAGUGUUCAUAGGAUUAUUCAAACAGGAUUAUAUGCUAUAAGAAUCCUUAUCCAGCCUAAGGUACUUUCACAUUGUGUUUCUCAAAAUGUGGAAGAAAGGUGUUUUUAAUUAUAUCCACUGUAGUAAAUACAGAAUUUUUCCAUGUCUACAUUGAAAAAAACCCCACCAACCUGAUCUGCAGGAUGUCACUGAAUUGAUCUAAUGGGCUGUGCUGUAGGUUCAUACCUAGUAAAAAAAAAAAAAAAAAACAUACCUGCAAGUACCUAAUGAGUUAGCACAUAG